rnacentral:rRNA from 1 species
AGUUUGAUCAUGGCUCAGAUUGAACGCUGGCGGCAUGCCUUACACAUGCAAGUCGAACGGUAACGGGCCUUCGGGUGCCGACGAGUGGCGAACGGGUGAGUAAUGCAUCGGAACGUACCUUUCAGUGGGGGAUAACGUAGCGAAAGUUACGCUGAUACCGCAUAUUCUGUGAGCAGGAAAGCAGGGGAUCGCAAGACCUUGCGCUGAUUGAGCGGCCGAUGUCAGAUUAGCUAGUUGGUGAGGUAAAGGCUCACCAAGGCGACGAUCUGUAGCGGGUCUGAGAGGAUGAUCCGCCACACUGGAACUGAGACACGGUCCAGACUCCUACGGGAGGCAGCAGUGGGGAAUUUUUGGACAAUGGGGGCAACCCUGAUCCAGCCAUGCCGCGUGAGUGAAGAAGGCCUUCGGGUUGUAAAGCUCUUUCGGCCGGGAAGAAAUCGCAUGGGUUAAUACCCUGUGCGGAUGACGGUACCGGCAUAAGAAGCACCGGCUAACUACGUG